UGGGCUGGAGUCGUGGAUGCCGAGUUCUGUGAGGUGGUCAUGCUGCAGGCUGGGAGCUCAGGCCAGGAAUCCAGAAGAGGGACCUUCUUCAUGCAGGAUGUAUGAAAAGGCUGCAGGAAACUGCGGGCUGCAGAGAGCUCUGCGAGUGGUAGGCUGAAUCAGAGGGCCAAGUGGGCCUGAGGAGCAGAAGCCUCGCCUCCCAGCUGCCCAGGGCAGCCCUUGGCAAGAACCCAGGCAGGCAGGGACAAUGGGAGGAAUGGAGAAUGGGCAAAGCCCAGCUGUGGGGGGUGGGGGGGGUGGGGUCCAAGGUCAGGACUCCAGCUCUGCAGGCAUCCAGGAACUACUUAAGAUACAGGGGUUCUGUUUGUGAGGCUGAGGCUGUCGGGCCUGGGCACAGUGUGGCCUGGGCCUUGGGGCAUGGCGGGGAGAAGGCCUGGUCCUGGGGUGGAUAAGUGGCCUGGAGCAGGGGUCUGGGUGUGGAAGCCAGGACCUGAAGGCCCAGCUGUAACGGAGGUUACAAAGCUGUGUUAUGGAAGGCCCCAGGAGUUGGGUAGGUUUCCUGGUUGAGAAGCUUGGAGGGGCCUGUUUGCAAAACAUCUGGAGGAUGUGUGUCGCUGUCCAGUCAAGCUGGAAAGCAUCCCACGUGGCUCAUGGGUCGGGGCGUAGCAGCACUGACCACAGGGGAGACACAGGGACACCCAGACUCUGUCCUUGCGGUGACAAGAGAAUUGUCUUCAGGAAAAGAACACUCUAUGGGGCAGGCGCCAUGUUUGUUCUGCUCACCAAGGAAUCCUCAGAGGUUGGCGCACAGCAGAUGCUCAAGAAAUAUCUGUUGUGGGUGCUCCUAGUUGUGGCAUGUGGGACACCACCUCAACGUGGACUGACGAGUGGUGCCAUGUCCACACCCAGGAUCUGAACCAGCGAAACCCUACGCCAUCGAAGUGGAGCGUGUGAACUUAACUACUCGGCCACGGGGCUGGCUCCUCAAUCAACAAAUUUAAUGCCACUCUAGUCAAUAUCCUGAUGGGAUAAAAAGCAGAAGGAGGAAGAAGAGAAGGAGAAAGAGAAGAAUGAGAAGAGUAAUAAGAUCAGAGUGGUAUUUCAGGAAGACAUGCUUUUCUUAAACCAGAGGCCAACAAAAGUGACCCGUGGAAUCUGAGGAUGGUGGGACAGUCUGGGGCCGGGAGGGAAAAGAAACCAAAUGAAUGUCGCUCUUGAUCGAGGUAGAGAUGGGGUAUGGCACACAGAGUGUGGAGUUGAAGGCUGUGCAUCCCUCCUAGCUCUUCCACUCUUCCUGGGUGACCCGGAGCAAGCCAUCUAACCUCUCAGCAUCUCAGACUCCUCAUCUUCAACAAAGGGGAAGUGGGGCUAGAUUAUCUCUGGAACCCUGGAGGCCCACAAUAUCCAACAAUUCAGUUAAUUGAAAUGUAUUGUAAAAGCGCAGAUGGGUAUGAAUUUGGGGUGACUUUUGGGUGGUGGUGGCUAGCAGUAGGAAGCAGCGGUACCAGGUGAGACAACUCAGACCAUGCACAGCUCUAAUAUGGGGAAAUGAAGUAAUGGCACUAGCCCGCAUGUAUCAAGUACUUGUGUCAUUUACUCUACUAAACAGUUUACAUACAUUAUCUCAUUUAAUUCUCACAACAGCCCUGUGAGGUAGGCUCCAAUAUAUCACACAAUUAUGAGGAAACUGAGGCACAGAGAGGGUAAGUAAUCUACCCAAGAAACAUUGCCAGUAAAUAGGAAAGCCAGAAUCAACCCCAGAUCUAUUUCAAUUUCAAACCCUUAACCACUGUACGACAAGCAAGGGUGUAUAGAAUAACUAUUAAAGUCUUGUAUUUUAUCUUUCAAUUAAAAUUCAGAAACAUUCAUUGAAUAUCUAUCCGACACAGGAACCAGCUUGAAGAGGGUCCCAAUGGCUAAAUCUGGGACAAAUUCAGCACCCAAAUGAAGUACAGUGAUGAAUUAUAAACCACUGAAAAAAACAGGAUUCAUGAGUCCCCUUACCGAUAAUAGAUAGAUAAAUAAAUAAGCAGAAUACCAAGGGUUGGCUGGUAAACGUGGAGGGACUGCUGGAGCUGGAAAAUCAUCAUUUGGUUAUCAGCAGAGUAGAAAGGGUUCAGGCAGGAACCAUCAACGGAUGCUAAAUCUAAGGGGGAAAUGUUAACGAGCAAGAUAUUUGUAUGGUCUCAACGUAUCUUUCCAGAGACUGCUUAUUAAUUCAAGGGAGAAAAAAAAAUUGUACAGUGGAGAAAUUGAGCAACACCUUGAUGGAGGAGAAAAAUUUACAUUACCAGUAAGGUCAUUGUAUGCCUCCAGCUGUGAUACCCUUAGAAGGACAAAAUGUUAAUUUCGCAAUAUCCCAGCCAAGAAUGCAUAAACAAAACAUCAAACAAAUGCAAUCUGGGAAUGUUCUAUUUAAAAAAAAAAAAAGGCAACGGGAACUGUCUUAAAAAAUGUCGACAUCAUAAAAGACAAAAAAAAGGCUGUGGAAAUAAUUCCAGAUUAAAGGAGGCUACAGGGUAACACAACUAAAUGCAAGCCAGACCCUAGACUGGAUGUUGUGCAGGAGGCGGGAGUGUGGACAAUGCUACAAAAUACAUUACUAGAACAACCAACAAAAUUGGAAUAGAAACACUACCAAUGUAUAUUUAUAAAGUUGAUAAAUGUACUGUGGUUAUGUUGAGAAUAUUCCUAGGUUCAGGAAAUUCACACAGUAUUUAGGGGUGAAGGGUGCUGAUGCAUGUCGCUUACUCUUAUAUGGUUCAAAAGAGAGGGGACAGAGAGCGUGCUAAUGCUACAGCAAAUGGGGUAAAACGUGAACCACAGGUGAAUCUAGGGAAAGGGUAUAUGAGGCUUCUUUGCAACCUUUCCUAAGUUUGAAAAUAUGUCCAGGGGCUGGCCCCAUGGCUGAAUGGUUAAGUUCACGUGCUCUGCUUGGGCGGCCCAGGGUUUCGCCAGUUCGAAUCCUGAGUGUGGACACGGCACCGCUCAUCAGGCCAUGCUGGGGCAGCAUCCCACAUACCACAACUGGAAGGACCCACAACUAAAAAUACACACCUAUGUACCGGGGGGCUUUGGGGAGAUAAAAGGAAAAAUAAAAUCUUUAAAAAAAAAGAGAAUAUGUCUAAAUAAGGAGACCUUUUUUUUUAAAGUCAAUCUGAUAUCAUAUUAGCAAGUGGUGGUCAGUCUCUGAGUUUUUGAACUGUACGGAAGGAAAAGGAAUGACCUGUGUUGAGCCAUGAGAAUAACUGCCAUCAAACAGGAGAAACCUAAGGUUGAGGUGAUUCCCUGCAGUUGAGGGCUUCCCCCACCAACCCGAGG
rnacentral:lncRNA from 1 species